GUUGAACGCUGGCGGCAGGCCUAACACAUGCAAGUCGAACGGUAACAGGAAGAAGCUUGCUUCUUUGCUGACGAGUGGCGGACGGGUGAGUAAUGUCUGGGAAACUGCCUGAUGGAGGGGGAUAACUACUGGAAACGGUAGCUAAUACCGCAUAACGUCGCAAGACCAAAGAGGGGGACCUUCGGGCCUCUUGCCAUCGGAUGUGCCCAGAUGGGAUUAGCUAGUAGGUGGGGUAACGGCUCACCUAGUCGACGAUCCCUAGCUGGUCUGAGAGGAUGACCAGCCACACUGGAACUGAGACACGGUCCAGACUCCUACGGGAGGCAGCAGUGGGGAAUAUUGCACAAUGGGCGCAAGCCUGAUGCAGCCAUGCCGCGUGUAUGAAGAAGGCCUUCGGGUUGUAAAGUACUUUCAGCGGGGAGGAAGGGAGUAAAGUUAAUACCUUUGCUCAUUGACGUUACCCGCAGAAGAAGCACCGGCUAACUCCGUG
rnacentral:rRNA from 1 species